rnacentral:tRNA from 1 species
GCGCUGAUGGUGAAACGGUUAUCACGCUUGUGUUGCUCACACAAGCGAUGGGGGUUCGGUUCCUCCUUGGUGCA